CCCCAGGCCCACAGGGCAAGCUGCGCCCGUUUUCUUUCCAGAGUCCCCUGCCCUCCAGCGAGCUGAGUUGAGCCCCAGCUGGACUCCAAGUCGAACCUCCACAGCCAGGUGUCCGCCAGAUGUCUUCCAAGGCCAGCAAGGGAACUGCCUGGGCACGCGUCAGUCUGGCCUGUUUCCUGAUCCAGAAAAUUAUUUUCAGCUGCGCGUGACCUUCCACGGGGCCAGGACUGGAAAACUAGACAGCGGUGAUCUUUUUAAGACCGUGGAAUCUAUGAACUAGGUGGUCACAUCCUAGAAGUGGAGGAAGCUGGGGCCUCGCGCAGCAGACUGACCAGACCCUCACUGAGGGCCCAAGGCUGAGACUGGGUCAUGGACAGUGGAGUCCUGGCGGUUCCCAACAAGACAGAGACGAGGAUCAGCCCCUGAGGCCACCGCCCACUGUCAGCAACCCUGGGUUCCUCUCCUGACCCAGUGGAAGGCACAGCCACGCCUGCUCCUCUGGGGAAAACGGGCCCACACCACAGCCAUGGUUCUGCUGGAGAAGCUGAGAAGCCACUUGGGGCUCCUUCUGGUCUCUUAGGCUGGGGAUGCCUCUUGGGACUGGCUGGGUGGGGAGGUUUGGGUGUACCUUGUAGGGGUGGCGUGGGGACUGCAACACCCAGGAGGAGGCUCAGGGGCUCUAUGGGGGGAGGCUGCUGUGAUGAGCUGCCUGGCGUCUGAUGGGCUUAGCCCAGGCUGGGCGGUGGGUGGCCUCACGUGGCUGUGGUGUGCUGAAGCUGAAACUACAAGGC